UACAGAGGUCCCAAGCGUUGUUCGGAUUCAUUGGGCGUAAAGGGUGCGUAGGCGGCGCGGUAAGUCGGGUGUGAAAUCUCGGAGCUUAACUCCGAAACUGCAUUCGAUACUGCGGUGCUCGAGGACUGGAGAGGAGACUGGAAUUCAUGGUGUAGCAGUGAAAUGCGUAGAGAUCAUGAGGAAGACCAGUGGCGAAGGCGGGUCUCUGGACAGUUCCUGACACUGAGGCACGAAGGCCAGGGGAGCAAACGGG
rnacentral:rRNA from 1 species